rnacentral:rRNA from 1 species
GGCUCAGAUUGAACGCUGGCGGCAGGCCUAACACAUGCAAGUCGAACGGUAACAGGAAACAGCUUGCUGUUUCGCUGACGAGUGGCGGACGGGUGAGUAAUGUCUGGGAAACUGCCUGAUGGAGGGGGAUAACUACUGGAAACGGUAGCUAAUACCGCAUAACGUCGCAAGACCAAAGAGGGGGACCUUCGGGCCUCUUGCCAUCGGAUGUGCCCAGAUGGGAUUAGCUAGUAGGUGGGGUAACGGCUCACCUAGGCGACGAUCCCUAGCUGGUCUGAGAGGAUGACCAGCCACACUGGAACUGAGACACGGUCCAGACUCCUACGGGAGGCAGCAGUGGGGAAUAUUGCACAAUGGGCGCAAGCCUGAUGCAGCCAUGCCGCGUGUAUGAAGAAGGCCUUCGGGUUGUAAAGUACUUUCAGCGGGGAGGAAGGGAGUAAAGUUAAUACCUUUGCUCAUUGACGUUACCCGCAGAAGAAGCACCGGCUAACUCCGUGCCAGCAGCCGCGGUAAUACGGGGGGUGCAAGCGUUAAUCGGAAUUACUGGGCGUAAAGCGCACGCAGGCGGUUUGUUAAGUCAGAUGUGAAAUCCCCGGGCUCAACCUGGGAACUGCAUCUGAUACUGGCAAGCUUGAGUCUCGUAGAGGGGGGUAGAAUUCCAGGUGUAGCGGUGAAAUGCGUAGAGAUCUGGAGGAAUACCGGUGGCGAAGGCGGCCCCCUGGACGAAGACUGACGCUCAGGUGCGAAAGCGUGGGGAGCAAACAGGAUUAGAUACCCUGGUAGUCCACGCCGUAAACGAUGUCGACUUGGAGGUUGUGCCCUUGAGGCGUGGCUUCCGGAGCUAACGCGUUAAGUCGACCGCCUGGGGAGUACGGCCGCAAGGUUAAAACUCAAAUGAAUUGACGGGGGCCCGCACAAGCGGUGGAGCAUGUGGUUUAAUUCGAUGCAACGCGAAGAACCUUACCUGGUCUUGACAUCCACAGAACUUUCCAGAGAUGGAUUGGUGCCUUCGGGAACUGUGAGACAGGUGCUGCAUGGCUGUCGUCAGCUCGUGUUGUGAAAUGUUGGGUUAAGUCCCGCAACGAGCGCAACCCUUAUCCUUUGUUGCCAGCGGUCCGGCCGGGAACUCAAAGGAGACUGCCAGUGAUAAACUGGAGGAAGGUGGGGAUGACGUCAAGUCAUCAUGGCCCUUACGACCAGGGCUACACACGUGCUACAAUGGCGCAUACAAAGAGAAGCGACCUCGCGAGAGCAAGCGGACCUCAUAAAGUGCGUCGUAGUCCGGAUUGGAGUCUGCAACUCGACUCCAUGAAGUCGGAAUCGCUAGUAAUCGUGGAUCAGAAUGCCACGGUGAAUACGUUCCCGGGCCUUGUACACACCGCCCGUCACACCAUGGGAGUGGGUUGCAAAAGAAGUAGGUAGCUUAACCUUCGGGAGGGCGCUUACCACUUUGUGAUUC